rnacentral:rRNA from 1 species
UACGGGGGGGGCAAGCGUUGUUCGGAAUUACUGGGCGUAAAGGGCUCGUAGGCGGCCAACUAAGUCGGAUGUGAAAUCCCCAGGCUUAACCUGGGAACUGCAUCCGAUACUGGAUGGCUUGAAUCCGGGAGAGGGAUGCAGAAUUCCAGGUGUAGCGGUGAAAUGCGUAGAUAUCUGGAGGAACACCGGUGGCGAAGGCGGCAUCCUGGACCGACAUUGACGCUGAGGAGCGAAAGCUAGGGGAGCAAACGGG